ensembl:lncRNA novel transcript
ACUGCGCGCGCGCCAAGCGCGGCCAGACAGACACCUCGCUGCCAAGUUAAUUCAGCAAGGACCAGGUGUACCUGAACGGCAUCCUGUGCAUUCUGGGACAUCGCCAGACCAUCGAUUUCCCGCUGCUGACCUCACUGGGCAAGGUGUCCUAUGAGGAUGUGGACCACCUGCGGCCCCAUGGGGUGCUGGAUAAUACCCGGAUGCCCCACCUUAUGCAGGACUUGGCACGCUACCGGCAGCAGCUGAAGCACAUCAUGGCCACCAACCGGCUGGAUGUGGCGGAGCUGGGUCGCCUGCUGCCCGACUGAUGUAGGUUGAGGGCUGCAGACAGAGGCCCUGGACAGAAGCUCCAGAUAGGCCCCCAGAACAUGAAGCUGUUUGCUCUGUGCUUCCACGGUCUGGGUGUUUCUUGGGGGGUGUUGGGAGGGCAGGAGCAUUCCUUGAGAAGGAGUGGCAACAUCAAAGGGUUUGUGUCCCUUGCUAGCCUCCCUGGGGCCUGGGGAUCUGCAGCAGCAUGUCUGGCAAACUGAGUCGCCCUCCUGCCUCCAGCUCUGUGUUGAGCAGAGGGAAGGCAUGGGGGCAGGAAGGGAGCUGAGCAUUGAUGGGGAUGAGGGUGGUUUGGGAAUAGAAACUUGUUCUUGCAUAAGAUGGCUUUGGUUGUCCCGGUACUCCAGUCUCUCCCUUCCCUCACCUGUCCCCUUGGUGCUCCUUCAGCAUUCGUGCUGUCUGCUUCUCACUGGGUCCUGGUGGGGGUCGGGAUCCCUUCUCCUGGGGUGAUUGAUGGCCUGAGCUUGGGGUACUACCUGGGGUAGUAGAGACCCAGUUGGUCUGGGGUGUGCUUUCCAACAUUUUGCCUCUCUCACUGGUCAUGUAUUUAUUCCAUAUUUAUAUGAUCUACUUCCUGUGGCUGGGAGCAGCAGCUCCUGAAGGUUCCAUGGCAGGGAACAAGACACUCCUUCUGGAAGGCACCGAUUUUCCUAGCCCCACUCCCAUUACACGCACACACACACACACACAUACAGAGUGAUUCAGGCCUUGUGAAUCAAGCCCAAGAGCUCCCUUGGCCCUGUCCCCACUCCCUCCACUGGCCUCUGCUUUUCCUGUCUUUGCCCACACCCUCACAGCUGGUCUCUGGCACAGGCUGGCAUAGCCUAGGAGCAGCUGCAGUUGUCCCUGAGGGACAGGCCCUAGAGUUUGGUGGCCCAAGUCCUAAACCCCUCCUGGACCAGGUGAGGUGCAGAGCGCCUUUUGUGUAAGUUACUGGUCAGAAUCCUCACUGAGCUCCCAGUCCAGAGGGAAGCCAGACAAUUAAAACAGUAAUAACAAAAAAAAAAAAGAAAAAAGAAAAAAAGGGAUAAGAAGCCUGACAUAUAAAUAGCAUGAAUUGAUAAGAACAAACAACCCGACAGAACGAUGCAGGAAAAUGCUAAAAGUGUUUAAAUCCUAGACUUGAAAAGAAAAAAUCGCCAACAAAAUGUGAAAUAAAAAUGCUCAGUUUAAUUAGUUAAGAAUUCAACUACAUUCAAAUGAAAAUAAAAGCCAUUUGUCAUCCUUAGAAAGAAAAAUGAUAAAAACAGGAGUAAAAUCCUGUGCGUGAGGCCAAAGGAAAUUGGACACUCUUGUCCCUCACAUGGAGGAGGGCAAAGUACUAAAACCUUUCCGAAAAAUAUCUAUUAAAGUAAAAACAGGCACACUCUAAAUAAGUCAUCCCACUUUUGCGAAUCUGUUCUGUGGAAAAUGCAUGUUCUUCCUAACCUUUGCUAAGCAUUUAAACACACUCAUAUAUAUUAUGACGUAUAAAUGUUUGUGCAGUGAUAUCUAUUAUGGCACUGUUCAUUGUGGCAAAAAUCCGGAAGCAACCUUAUGUCCAUUAAAGGUGAGAGGAUUGAAUAAAUUAUGCAUAUCUGC